UUUUAUCUCAGCUAAUUGCCUGUUUUUCUUCAGUUUUAGCAACUGUUUUACAUCACUCAGAAGCCCAUCUCUACCUGGAAAGCUAGCACAUCAGUGUGACCUUGGUCCACCUGUGAUUUGAAAGAGACUGCUGUCCACGAGCACUUUAUGACUCCUGUAAACACCAGACAACGCCAAAGGAUACUAACUACGUGCACAAUUUUCAACAGAAAGUCAGAAGAUUAACGGAAGAAGCUUGCAACAGACUCCUAGCACAUCUGCAGUGCAUAAUGGGAUGCCCUGCUAAAAUAUUGACCUAGCAGAAGCUCCAUCAGUGAGGAUGGGAGAAAUUCAAUCCUGUGCUCCCCCAAACCACAGAGAAUGGUUGCACAGCACUGAUGUGGCCAUGUAGCCUUUGAGACUUCA
rnacentral:lncRNA from 1 species